rnacentral:lncRNA from 1 species
UUUCUUGGGACCUAACAUGCAGAUAUAGAUUAGUUUCAUUGGUCUUAUUUUUCAGAUCCAAAGUGAGAUCAAAAGUCUUAACUAAGAUCACCCAGCAAUUGAAGAGCUAUGGUGGGAAGGAAAAUUCAUAGCUACCAAAUCCCAGGAACAUUGAAUAUGAGAAAAUAGAAGACCACCACCUCAUCAUCCUCAGCUUCAGCUGAAAAUAAGGAAGAUAUGAAUCACUUUGUUCCUAAAAUGCAUCAGGAAGCCACUGUGCUAUUUUCUUAAGAAACCACUACUACCCCAUCGCCACGGGGAGGUCAACAACCUACUCUUACAAAACUGAAAGUAUGACACCAUUCCUUGUGCUUUUACCACAUUCUGCCUCUUUAUUAAACUUUAAU